rnacentral:rRNA from 1 species
AACGUAAGUUUUUAACUUAAGUAGCGAACGGGUGAGUAACACGUGAGAAUUUACAUUUAGGAGGGGGAUAACUAUUGGAAACGAUAGCUAAAACCCCAUAUACUUAUAGUAAAAUAGAAUUUUUUUCUGCCUAAGAAAAAGCUCGCGGCUGAUUAGCUAGUUGGUAGGGUAAAGGCCUACCAAGGCGAUGAUCAGUAUCUGGUCUGAGAGGAUGAUCAGACACACUGGAACUGAGAUACGGUCCAGACUCC